rnacentral:lncRNA from 1 species
AGCCUAUAUGGACACUAGUUUUCGUCACAGAAAUCGUCAUGGAUAUCCUACAUGGGGUAGCCCAUUAGUUCGUCCCAUUAGCCUAUUUCAUCCAGCCCAUUUUUCACCAACUAUAUUUUUAACCAGAAUGCAUUACACAUAUCGUAAUGCCAAUUUUGGCAAGACAGGUAUUUCAAAACAGUCUCACAUGCACAUAUGAAUCAAAAUGCAGUAAUUCACAAGUAUCUACAACAUAGCAGCUUACAAAAUGCUCCAUGAAAUGAUGGUUUACAACAUAGAUUGACACAAUACAUAAUUUGGGAAAGUUAGAAAACAGUACAAACCAGUUCACACAAACAGGUCAUUUAAACUAUUGAAGUUGCUAUUCAAGUUCUUGCUGUCGGCCGUCUUGAUGGAAAUUGUCAGUACAAAUUGUGAUGGGCAGCACCAAGUAGCCCAGCACCAAGUAGUCUGGUACGCAAUCAUACCUAGCAUAUUUACAACAUCAUUAGAUAUUUGUAGAUAUGAAUAUAUUGUAAAAAUAAGAGAAUUGAAACAAAUAUAAAAAAUGAAUAACUCAUGCUAUCAAAAUUCUUAAAUCUUGCACCUACACGUGAGAAUAACAUAGUAUCUACUACAUACAUGUUUCAUGUAGAUCCCUAUUAAUUAAAACAACCAACUUAUGGGUAAAAAAAUGAAAUGUAAAGUACUUGUGCAUAUCAUCUGAAUAAGAAAAACAAAAACACUGGUCAAAGGGGGACAGUACAUAUUGAAGAAGGGAUAGUUAUGCAUUGAGAAAACAAACAAGUACAUACUUCUACAGGUGUGUCGAGUAGUAUAUUAUUUUUCCAUCCUUGUAAGUAGGCAUGAAUUGACUUGUCAAUAUUUGGCAGAACAGCACCUUUGGGUACCACCAAUUUGCAAAAAAUAGGUUGCCCAACCCCAGAACCUACCCUAUUAUAUAGAGCAUUAAGAAAUUGGAUAUACCCUAAAGAACAAUAUCCACAUAUUGUUGACAGUUGACAGUUGAAAAUUAGACCAAAACAGAUAUAUAGUGAAAAUAAAACCAAAAGGAUAUGAAGGAGACAGUAAUAGACCUAUCUAAGAAUGUGGACAUUUUGCCCAAGGAUACAUUUCUCUAGCAACCGUAAGAUAUCAUCAACAUACAGCUGAAGAAUUACUAUUUGACAAGAAUUAGCAUUUGACAGGAACAAUAAUAAAUAAAUUAAUAAGUGGUGAUGCAAAAUUACCACCAGCAGUUUGUGAGGUAACAUGAUGGCAGUGCAGCCUGAAGGAUCGACAUCAUAAGCUUCGCUUACAUGUAGCUAGGGCCACAUCAAUCUCAGCACCAACAUCCGAAGAUCUGCAGUCCCAUCAAAAUGUCCAACUUUAAGCUCCAAUCUGGGUGUUGAGAAAAUUGCAUACAAAAUCUGGGUGUCCAUGAGAUAGACCUGGGCAAAGCAUCCGACAAAACUUAGCACACUAUUAAAACAACUUUUGACAGAGAAUUGAGACAUACAAGAAUUUCAUUGGAGCCCAAAGUGCAAUGACAACACCAAUAUUAUUAUUUGCUGCAAACCAAGAUCAAAUAAUAACACCAAACUUUUCAAACCUGCAGAUUGUUACACUAUUUCAUUAUCUAUGUGUGCCUCUAAAUCUCUAAAGCUAUAGAUUGUUACACUAUUUCAUUAUUUCAUUUUAGAGCCUCAAUCAUGUAGAAUCGAACAGCUUAUUCAGUGGUAAAUCUUGUGCCCCUCCCUCUAGCUCAGGGAGUAGGGAGUAGCUUAUUCAGUGGUCAAACUGUGUGCCUCUCCUUGUGCCUCUCAACUUUUGUAGAUGGAAGAAAGUUACUUCUAAAUCUUGUCGUGGUAUGUUCAAUCAUAGAAGUUUCACAACACCAUAUACCAACAUAUAUUGUGAAAACGUGCCUUGACAGUUGACUGCCACAUGCACACACCAAGAAACAUCCAAUAUUAAUUCAGAUAGGAACGUGUACGAACAUAUGCAGGAUUUUCUUAUGAAGAAUACCGAUGAGUCCUUAAGCUAGGCAUGGUCAAAACUAACAAGUACUAACUCCGUCUCAAAAUAUAAGACAUUUUUGUAUGCUAGUUUAACCUAUAAAAACGACUUAUAUUUCAAGAUGGAGGUAGUAUGACUCAAGUAGCAUUGAUAUUUGAUCCUAACAGCAACAAAGAUGAGUACAUCGACUGGCAAAACAAGGUCGUGGCCCGCCCAGCUCUAGAGACAAAUAAAACUCUUUUGUACAUGUAACAUCUUAAUCCAAUAGCAUGUCUCCCUCGCAUCCAGCUAUGAGCUCUCUGCCUCGAUUCAACACUGAGCAAGCCAUUCAGAGAUGGAGAGGUCCAAUAGCCAGGAAGUCGGGCGCCGCAUGUAGCAACCCCUACGGUGACCCAUCCCUAUGCCAUGGCGGCUGCCAGUGGCUAGCCACUGAUGAACUACCCAGGCGACAAGCACAAGGCCAUAGAACCAGCAGGCAGCUAGAGCACAAGAAAUUUCGUUUAUUUGUCCAAAUUUUACUUGACAACAUCAUCCUAUUACCAGUUUCCCUGUACAGGCAACCUGAAAUUUCACUAACUCAUGCCUACUUAAUUGUAUGGUUUAGAAAAAAAUUUGGCCUGCCCAACUUAUUUGUUGUAGCUCCGCCACUGAGUACAUCUAACUUACACAAGUUCUGCACAUCAUUAAUUAUUAGUUUGCAACUACGCCAGGGAGUAAAGACAAUAUAAAAAUAUAGAUAUAUACCAGACUAAUAACAAUGGAAAGGAGGACACUAAUAUGCUUUAUUCAUUACUGGCAUGGCCUAAUUAGGAACUAAACGCGAACCACCACAUAGCUUGUCUAACUACUCCCUCCGUUCGGAAUUACUUGUCACAAAAAUGGAUGUAUCUACAAUUAAAAUACAUCGAGAUACAUUCAUUUCUUCGACGAGUAAUUUCGAACGGAGGGAGUAGUAGUUAUUUAACACAAAUUCUACACUGCUAAUGCUCGCAUGGUGAGAGAAGAAAAAGGAAAUAACUAGCAGUGCUAGUCUGUCAUUGGCUGUAACUUGGCUGUAGCUUGCGAGUAUCAGGAAACGAAGUGGACGCGUUUUCUACAUCAGGUUCAGUCCAAGAAAAUUGGUGAGCCCCAGGAGAACUAUGCUAGAGAAGAGCAGCAGGUACUUGGAAAGAAAAGAAAAACAGAGUGAGAGAGUCAACCUUAUUGUUCUGUGGGGAAUCAUGAUGGUCGGCUCGGAUGACCUCGCCAUUCCAGCUCGUCGGGUUUGAGCGUGGGG